UUCAAAACACGUCCAAAACACUUUAUUAUGAAAAAAUUCUAGUUCUAUAAAAUAUUUAAUUUUUUUUUUGGUUGUUUUAACAAAAAAAGAAGAAGUCCGGAUUUUAAAAAAAUUCGAAAAUCCGGACCUGAUUAGUGUUCUAUAUAUAUAUAUACAUAUAUAUAUAUAUAUACACACACUCCUGCAAACCAUUUUAUCCAUUACACUUGCUAUGUAAUUGUAUUAUUAUUGUAAUCAAAUGAAUAUACAGUACUAUCAAAUAAUAAUUUCUCAAGAUUUAGCCAAACUUGAUUGUCAAAAUCGUUCCUCUUUCCGAGCAACCACUGCAAUGCUUUCUUUUUUGGUUUACUAAGUGGCGGCUUCCUUUUGUUUUUUUAUAUCUGACUGUUAUUUUUCUUACGAGG
rnacentral:lncRNA from 1 species